AGGCCCACCUAACUCUCACCUUACCACUAGAGGGCGAGUGGCGGAGCAGUGCAUCCCACAGUCUGUCUGUGUCUGCAUGUGCAGAGGGACACGGGGGAACCGGUUGGUCAUCGCGCUGAGCACUGGGUGAUACAGCUAAUAAUUAGCCACGGGCUGCUCAUCUGCUCCAUUUAUUUCUCCCUGUGCAUAUGCCAUCCUCCGUCUCUCCCUCCCCCCAUGCACACAGGCGCAGAGGGGGGUGGAUUUGGCCGUAUGCUCCCGCCUGGACCGAGGAGCGUGACUUUCAGCACCUCGCAAGCUAGGUGCUAACCGCAGGUCUGCAGAGGUGGAAACAUCUCAGUCCAUCCUCCACAGAGCCUCAACGAGAAGACGCAUGCUCAUUAUGGACACAUUCUAAUCUGCAGUGGCACUAUAAUGGCUCCGUGGGUGUCCAGAACAAGACCUUAACAAGCUGUCAUCUUUCACUGAGAGGUGCGAUAACAGAAAGUGCAUUGUGCUUUGCU